GGCUCUGUGGCGCAGUUGGUCAGCGCGUUCGGCUGUUAACUGAAAGGUUGGUGGUUCAAGCCCACCCAGGGACG
rnacentral:tRNA from 1 species